AACGAACGCUGGCGGCGUGCUUAACACAUGCAAGUCGAACGCGCCUGUCCUCUGGGUUUCUGGGGGUGGGUGAGUGGCGAACGGGUGAGUAACACGUGAGUAACCUGCCCCCUUCUUCGGGAUAACGGUCUGAAAGGGCUGCUAAUACCGGGUAUUCACUGGUCUCCGCAUGGGGUCUGGUGGAAAGGUUUUUUUCUGGUGGGGGAUGGGCUCGCGGCCUAUCAGCUUGUUGGUGGGGUGAUGGCCCACCAAGGCUUUGACGGGUAGCCGGCCUGAGAGGGUGACCGGUCACAUUGGGACUGAGAUACGGCCCAGACUCCUACGGGAGGCAGCAGUGGGGAAUAUUGCACAAUGGGCGCAAGCCUGAUGCAGCGACGCCGCGUGAGGGAUGGAGGCCUUCGGGUUGUGAACCUCUUUCGCCCGUGGUCAAGCCGCGACGUGGGUCGUGGUGAGGGUAGUGGGUAAAGAAGCGCCGGCUAACUACGUG
rnacentral:rRNA from 1 species